AUGAAGAUGAAGACGAUCAAGUCUUUUUGUGACAGUGACUUGAGCCCUGCUCUUGUUGUCUUCAAGGUCUUGACACUUCAACACCAACAAGACGAAGACCAACGUUGUCAUAUCUUCCACACCAAAGCAGGCAUCUACGGACGCUCCGUCAAGGUCAUCAUCGACGGAGGAAGUUGCCACAAUUUGACAAGCGAAGAGCUAUAUUCCAUGCUACAAUUGGUAAAGAUAAGAUAUCCUUGCUCCUACAAGGUCCAAUGGCUUAGCGACUCCGGCACCAUUCAAGUGGAGCACACCGUGCAAGUAUCAUUCAAGAUUGGACCUAUGAAGACACCUCGAAGUGUGAUGUGGUUCCUAUGUCCGUGUGCCAUCUCCUCUUAG
rnacentral:rRNA from 1 species